rnacentral:rRNA from 1 species
AUUGAACGCUGGCGGCAGGCCUAACACAUGCAAGUCGAACGCGUCGCGCACGGGUGAGAAAUGUCUGGGAAACUGCCUGAUGGGGGGGGAUAACUUCUGGAAAGGGUAGCUAAUACCGCAUACCAUCAGAUAUGCCCAGAUGGGAUUAGCUUGUUGGUGGGGUAACGGCUCACCAAGGCGACGAUCCCUAGCUGGUCUGAGAGGGGGACCAGCCACACUGGAACUGAGACACGGCCCAGACUCCUACGGGAGGCAGCAGUGGGGAAUAUUGCACAAGGGGCGCAAGCCUGAUACAGCCAUGCCGCGUGUAUGAAGAAGGCCUUAGGGUUGUAAAGUACUUUCAGCGGGGAGGCGUUACCCGCAGAAGAAGCACCGGCUAACUCCGUGCCAGCAGCCGCGGUAAUAC